UCUCUCCCUCUCUCCUCGAUUUCGAGACGGAUUUUCGCCCGAUCGAAAAUCCGAAGAUACCACUGGACUCCAUUCGCUGCUGCCGUCAUUUCUACCGAAGCGGAUCGGUGAUAGGAGCAGCGUAGGCAUAUUCCCUGGGGAGUCCCUGAGAGACCGGCAGGUCAAGGCCGCCGUUGAGAUUAGUGAGAUUAUCCCAUGAGGAGGGUAAGAUUUUGUACUAGGGUUAGAAUUAUUUUGUGUUUGACCCUAGAGAUAUUUUGAUGUAUGUGAGGAUGUAUAGAAUGCUCUGGUAUUAUAUUUUGUGACUGGAUGUUUGAGA